GUUUAUAUAUAUGUUUUUAGAUUCUUUUUAACAGCCUUGUUUUUAAGAGACAUUACUGCAGAUGUUAUUGAGGGAAGACAGCCACCCAUCAGCUGCUACUAAACUUAUUAGUUACACACCCUCAGAAAUAAUCCACAGCCCUGAUCUUUAGUACUUCAUCCAUCACCCAACACCUUAGCUCAUUUCCACCUUAAUUCUAUGUUGUGCACAGUUGAUGUGACGGCCCCAUUAUACACCCGGCGCAAUGCAGCACAAAGUGCAACACAAGUGUUUUUUGCUACAGUGAUAUCAACUCAGACCAACUUGAGUCUCUUGGACAUAAAUAAGGACCGAUUAAGAGACGUUAGAAGACGUAAAGAGCUGCUUCACCUGUAGCCUGGUAAGUUAUUAAAUGUGACCUCUGCA